AUAUAACGGAUAAAGGAAACGUGAUAAAAUUCGUGGAUAUAAUCGUUGGAGAACAGGUGUCGGGUAGAUUUUCUGAUUUAUACACUUUAUUGAAAUGUUACCACCACACAGGCAAGCAAACGUAGAUAUCUUUAAACGAGCGAAAUAUUCAUUUUUGACGAUAAUAGGUAGGAACGUCGAGUUAUCGCUAUCUAUACGGCAAUAUAUAUAUAUAUACAGCUUUAAAAGAAAAAAAAAAAGACUUAACAACGUAUUGCCGGAAUAGACUAAUCUAAAAACGGGCAACAUUAAAAACAUUUUUCAGUUGAUAAAAGUAAUGCGACACGUCGAGAUCUUGUAAACCCGUCUUGGUCCCCCUCUCCAAGUAGAAAAUAACUUGGAGAUCGUCGUACAAGAUAAAAAUUAUAUAAAAAAAAAAAAAAAAAAAAUAAACACCAUU